CCUACGGGAGGCAGCAGUGAGGAAUAUUGGUCAAUGGACGAGAGCCUGAACCAGCCAAGUAGCGUGAAGGAUGACUGCCCUAUGGGUUGUAAACUUCUUUUAUAUGGGAGUAAAACAGGGUAUGCAUACCCUCUUGUAUGUACCAUAUGAAUAAGGAUCGGCUAACUCCGUGCCAGCAGCCGCGGUAAUACGGAGGAUCCGAGCGUUAUCCGGAUUUAUUGGGUUUAAAGGGAGCGUAGGUGGGUUGUUAAGUCAGUUGUGAAAGUUUGCGGCUCAACCGUAAGAUUGAAGUUGAAACUGGCAGUCUUGAGUACAGUAGAGGGGAGCGGAAUUCGGGGUGUAGCGGGGAAAAG
rnacentral:rRNA from 1 species